UACAUGGGGUGCAAACGUUGCUCGGAAUUAUUGGGCGUAAAGCGCGCGUAGGCGGUUACUCAAGUCGGAUGUGAAAGCCCCUCGGCUUAACUGAGGAAGUGCACCCGAAACUGAGUAGCUAGAGUACUAAAGAGGGUCGCGGAAUUCCCGGUGUAGAGGUGAAAUUCGUAGAUAUCGGGAGGAACACCGGUGGCGAAGGCGGCGACCUGGGUAGAUACUGACGCUGAGGCGCGAAAGCGUGGGGAGCAAACAGG
rnacentral:rRNA from 1 species